UCUGGUGUCAGCCGCCGCGGUAAAACCAGCACCUCAAGUGGUCAGGAUGAUUAUUGGGCCUAAAGCAUCCGUAGCUCGUUUUGUAAGUUUUCGGUUAAAUCCAUGCGCUCAACGUAUGGGCUGCCGGGAAUACUGCAUAACUAGGAAGUGGGAGAGGUAGACGGUACUCGGUAGGAAGGGGUAAAAUCCUUUGAUCUAUUGAUGACCACCUGUGGCGAAGGCGGUCUACCAGAACACGUUCGACGGUGAGGGAUGAAAGCUGGGGGAGCAAACCGGAUUAGAUACCCGGGUAGUCCCAGCUGUAAACUAUGCAAACUCAGUGAUGCAUUGGCUUGUGGCCAAUGCAGUGCUGCAGGGAAGCCGUUAAGUUUGCCGCCUGGGAAGUACGUACGCAAGUAUGAAACUUAAAGGAAUUGGCGGGGGAGCACCACAAGGGGUGAAGCCUGCGGUUCAAUUGGAGUCAACGCCAGAAAUCUUACCCGGAGAGACAGCAGAAUGAAGGUCAAGCUGAAGACUUUACCAGACAAGCU
rnacentral:rRNA from 2 species